GAUGGCUCCCCACGUGACGUCAUCGCGCGGAACUCCCCCAGGGUCGGAAGGCAGCAAGGGUACGCGGGCUCUGACGGGUGCGUGGGGAGUCUUGUCU
rnacentral:SRP_RNA from 1 species